rnacentral:misc_RNA from 1 species
AACCAUAGAAACCUGCGGAGUACCUGCGGAAGGAUCAUUACAAGUGACCCCGGUUUACCACCGGGAUGUUCAUAACCCUUUGUUGUCCGACUCUGUUGCCUCCGGGGCGACCCUGCCUUCGGGCGGGGGCUCCGGGUGGACACUUCAAACUCUUGCGUAACUUUGCAGUCUGAGUAAACUUAAUUAAUAAAUUAAAACUUUUAACAAUGGAUCU